rnacentral:tRNA from 1 species
GUUGUAGCUCAGUGGUAGAGCAUUUGCCUCUCAUGCAUGAGGUACUGGGUUCAAUCCUCAGUACCACA